rnacentral:tRNA from 1 species
GCAUUGGUGGUUCAGUGGUAGAAUUCUCGCCUGCCACGCCGGAGGCCCGGGUUUGUUUCCCGGCCAAUGCG